rnacentral:rRNA from 1 species
UGGGGAAUUUUGGACAAUGGGGGAAACCCUGAUCCAGCCAUCCCGCGUGUGCGAUGAAGGCCUUCGGGUUGUAAAGCACUUUUGGCAGGAAAGAAACGUCAUGGGUUAAUACCCCGUGAAACUGACGGUACCUGCAGAAUAAGCACCGGCUAACUACGUGCCAGCAGCCGCGGUAAUACGUAGGGUGCAAGCGUUAAUCGGAAUUACUGGGCGUAAAGCGUGCGCAGGCGGUUCGGAAAGAAAGAUGUGAAAUCCCAGGGCUCAACUUUGGAACUGCAUUUUUAACUACCGGGCUAGAGUGUGUCAGAGGGGGGUGGAAUUCCGCGUGUAGCAGUAAAAUGCGUAGGUAUGCGGAGGAACACCGAUGGCGAAGGCAGCCUCCUGGGAUAACACUGACGCUAGUGCACGAAAGCGUGGGGAGCAAACAGG